rnacentral:lncRNA from 1 species
AAGUAUUCUAAGAAAGCGCUGACUUAGCAUAUGGACAGGAAGGCAAGUUCUACAGCACACACUAGUUUGGUCAGUGCCCCUGUCCAUUUACAGUGUUCCUGUAACUUGGCAAGAGUCUUGGGAAUAUCAACAGACUGUCUCAGGGACAUAGUGUUAAAGGCCAUAGUUUUUCUCAGGGUUGUUACACCUGUCUUAAGCACCCCUGACCCACGCUCUUUUGAGCUGGUAGCUGAAGAUGAAAUAAUAUUGUAUCACUGUCUUCCACUUGUAGCGAGGGGGAAAAAGAAACUGAUAAACAGCACUGGAGAGGAAAAAGUGCUUUGGUGGUUUGAGGAGAGCUCUUCGGAACCUUGCCUGAGCGAUUAUUUUGCUGAUGCAUCCAGCACUUUCCUCCUCUCACUUCCACUAUUAGUGAUGAAAACCAAAAGGGUGAGAAUAAAUUGUUCAUUCCACAAGCCAUUUGUAGAGAUGUUUAGUUAAUGGAUAGAAAAUGCAUAGUAGUUAAAUGUUAAUUAAUUCCUUUUUUGAGUAGCAUAUUCAUUUUAGGCUAUUUAUGAGGGUUGUCUUGUAAACACAUUCCUAUUACUUUGGUUCAACCACUGAAUUUCCCUAAGUCACUUAUCCUAAAUGUUCAUUAAUUUCAACCAGCUCUGGAGACGAUAUUCUCAUCGAACAUUACUGUAGAGUGCAACUCAAAAGCAAGGACCGUGUCUGCCUCGUGUUCUAAAAAAUGCCCUCCAAGGAAGGAGAAGUGCUUGAGGGAGCUCCAAAGACAGGAUUCAACAAAGGUAAUGAUGAUGAUGAUGACGAGGGGGUAAUGGGGAUGGCAAUGGUGGCAAUACAACUUUGGAUCUAUUCCCUGAUUUGAGGGAGAAUGCAGAUGAGAGCUGUGGUGCGAAUGCCUUGUCUUCCCAGAUGCACUGAAAGUAUUUUGUGUUUUUAACAGGUGCACAGAGAAGAUUCACCGGGGAGAGUUUGUAAAACUUGGAAGGGCAGCUGAGCAGUGAAUGGACCGAAUAGAUUUAUCCAUCUGCCAGGAGAGUGAAAUAAAUCUGUAGCCAGUAUAGGGAAAGGACUUAAAGGGAAU